rnacentral:rRNA from 1 species
UACGAAGGGGGCUAGCGUUGUUCGGAAUCACUGGGCGUAAAGCGUGCGCAGGCGGCUAUGCAAGUCAGGGGUGAAAUGCCAAGGCUUAACCUUGGAACUGCCUUUGAAACUGCAUAGCUAGAGUCCCGGAGGGGUUAGUGGAAUUCCUAAUGUAGCAGUGAAAUGCGUAGAUAUUAGGAGGAACACCAGUGGCGAAGGCGGCUAACUGGACGGGUACUGACGCUCAUGCACGAAAGCGUGGGGAUCAAACAGG